GAUAAGCACAUGUAGCCUACAAACUUAAACCAAAUUAGGGGAAAACACAAAACUUGUUCCUCUUUUACUCUCGAGUCUCCAAUAACUAAACCCUAGCUUUUACUAAACUUCUCUCUCACCAAUUCAUUGCUUUCCAAAAUCACAAUCCUGCCAACAACUUUUAUUGAAGGAUGCUCUUCAAUUUCAUCAUACCUAGUAUUCUAAUUGUUUUCAGAUGUUUAAAAAAAAAAUUCUACAAUUGAAUUUUUACACAGACCCAGAUUUCGCUAAAGCUUAUCCGCCCCUUUACUUUUAGUGCUUUAUGCUAGUGUUUCAAGAAUAAAAGGUUAAAGUUGAUGGUAUUAGUGAAAUCCUUCAGGCAAAAGCUUGUCUUGCUGACAUAGCAGCCACGUUGGCAGCCUCAUGGCUGGUGGCUUGGCAACAGGUUGGGUGUUGCAGUUCUCCCUCUUGCAGAUGGAAGGUAAGAAGAUUGUUUGUCAUAUUUUCUUGACAAAAAUACACUAGGAAAGUCAAAUGACUCCAUUAGCAUGAAUCAAAUUAAAGGCAUGGAAAUACAAGAAAUCGAGAAAAGCAGUAAUAUUGCUAGAAAGGUUGCAUGCCUGCAUCAUUUCUUAUGUACGAUGAGAAAGAGAGUGGAAAUCUAUACCUGAUGAGUACAUUGUCGUCGAUAAUUAUAGUUGUGUUUCUUUUGAGUUAGCUAGUCCAGUAAAAGGUUUAGAUAACAACUUCUAUUCGCAACCCCUGAUGAAUGAUGCCAAGGUUAAUGAUGCCAAGGUUAAUGAUCUGAUCAUGGCUGACUAAUCCUGGAAGCUUGUCACACCAAUUUUAGUGAUACAUAAAUUGUAUUUGUACUUUUCUUUUAUCAUUUUAGCUUAGAUAAAAACAUGUCUGAAUAUAAUGGUUUUUGGCACUGUAUUGUGCAUAUACCUAGUUGUACUGUUCUUUGAUUAUGAAUAAAAUUGAAUUUGAAUAAA